rfam:Picea glauca, whole genome shotgun sequence.
AGCUCGAGGAUUAUAUGCCCUAGGGCAUUAUACGCUAUGCUGAACUUUAGUACUCUGAUGAACGACCAAUAAGAUGAGAGCU